AUAUUGUGAUGAGGGUACUUUCUCAAUAAUUCCUUAAACCUCUCCCAUGCUUCAAACAAUUUCUCCUCGUUUGUCUAGAAGAAGUUAUUAAUCUCCCCUCUCAACUU